UUCCAGCUCCAAUAGCGUAUAUUAAAGUUGUUGCAGUUAAAAAGCUCGUAGUUGAAUUUCGGGACUAAUAUGUCGGUCGUACUUUGUACGUACUAGCAUUAUUGGUUUCUCUCUUCUGAAGAACCGCGAUGUCAUUAAUUUGGUGUCGUGGGGAAUCAGGACUGUUACUUUGAAAAAAUUAGAGUGUUUAAAGCAGGCUCGCGCUUGAAUACAUUAGCAUGGAAUAAUGAAAUAGGACGUUUGAUUCUAUUUUGUUGGUUUCUAGGAUCGACGUAAUGAUUAAUAGGGAUAGUUGGGGGCAUUAGUAUUCAAUUGUCAGAGGUGAAAUUCUUGGAUUUAUUGAAGACUAACUACUGCGAAAGCAUUUGCCAAGGAUGUUCUCAUUAAUCAAGAACGAAAGUUAGGGGAUCGAAGACGAUCAGAUACCGUCGUAGUCUUAACCAUAAACUAUGCCGACUAGGGAUCGG
rnacentral:rRNA from 1 species